rnacentral:rRNA from 1 species
GACGAACGCUGGCGGCGUGCUUAACACAUGCAAGUCGAACGGAAAGGCCCUGCUUUUGUGGGGUGCUCGAGUGGCGAACGGGUGAGUAACACGUGAGUAACCUGCCCUUUACUUUGGGAUAACUUCAGGAAACUGGGGCUAAUACCGGAUAUGAUCUCCUGCUGCAUGGUGGGGGUUGGAAAGUUUCGGCGGUUGGGGAUGGACUCGCGGCUUCUCAGCUUGUUGGUGGGGUAGUGGCUUACCAAGGCUUUGACGGGUAGCCGGCCUGAGAGGGUUACCGGGCACAAGAGGACUGAGAUACGGACCAGAAUGCUACGGGAGGCAGCAGGGGGGAAUAUUGCAGAAUGGGGCGAAGUCAGAGGUAGCAACGCUGCGUGCGGGAAGACGGCCUAUGGGGUGAAAACCGAUUUGGCCUGUGAAGAAGAGGGAGUGACGGUAAUGGGUAAAGAAGCACCGGCUAACUACGUG